CUGGGUCCGCUACUCCUAUCAAGAUAAUUAUUUCUUGGAACAAUCUCAAUCCUGCUAUUUAUAUUCUCAUCAUGUCAUUGCAGAUGGUAAUAGCAUUUUAGGAAUCAGAUGGAUAGAAGAGAGUUCUCGGUGAAAUCUGGAUUUUUCUUUUUCUUAUUGUUCAAUUUAUUCUCAUUUGCGUAUUGUUCUGUAAUUUAUAACAUAACUACAACCAAAGCAGUCUCACCAGAACAAACUCUCAACUCUCCUCAUCAAAUUUUUGAGUUGGGUUUCUUUACUCCUAAUAAUAAUUCCCAUGAUCAAUAUGUGGGAAUAUGGUUCAAGGAAGUUUAUCCUCAGACUGUGAUUUGGGUGGCAAACAGAGAGAAGCCAGUUACAAACUCCUCGGGGAGUCUCAUAAUUGGCAGCGAUGGGAAUCUGAGGCUUCUGGACGGGCAGCGGAACUCUAUCUGGUCGACUAAUAUUUCAGGCCAAUGGAAGGGUUCAAUUGCUGUACUUUCGGAUGACGGAAACUUCAUUUUGAAGAACAGUAUAACAGGAGAUAAUCUAUGGGAUAGCUUUCAGCAUCCUACCAAUGCCAUUUUGCCAGGCACAUGGUUGGCCUACAAUGAGACAAGUGGUAUGAUAACAAAUAUCACUUCCUGGAAAAGUGACAACGAUCCAUCAAUUGGGGAUUUUACUGUUGCUGUACUACCGCAGACACCGCCACAAGCCUUCGCUUGGAAGGGAUCGAAACCUUAUUUUAGAAGUGGGCCGUGGGACAAAACAAAGUUUAUUGGGAUACCAGAAACAGAAUUUUAUUAUCAAAGUGGAUUCGCACUCAUCGAGGGCCCUCAGCCGGGAAUUGCUUAUCUCAAUGUUAGUAUACUCACGAACUGCAUUUACUUGAUGCUUGUGAUUUCACCAACCGGAGCCUUAAAAAACUUAUGUUGGGUGAAAGCGAGGGGCUGGUACGCUAGGUGGGCGGUACCCGCCACUCCCUGCGAAAUUUAUGGAGCUUGUGGAGGAAACACAAGUUCCAUUAACACACAAGGAGGAAAACUGGAUGGAUUCUUGAGGAUUGGGGGGUUAAAACUUCCAGAUUCAUCUAAGUUCUUGAAGGUUUACGAUGAAAACGAGUGCCGUGGACAUUGUUUGAAUAACUGUUCCUGCUCAGGUUAUGCAUAUGUAAUUGCGAUAGGGUGUUUGGUUUGGACAGGAAACCUUCUGGAUAUUUACGAGUUACCCUUCGGUGGUCAAGAUCUUAAUCUCCGCCUUGCAAAUACAGAAUUGAGUGAAAGUGAUCAGAAGACUAAAGUAAAGAUCAUUACCAGCGUCAUCACUGUUGCAAUCAUCACCCUCAUUAUUGGUGCCAUGAUUUAUUGUUUCAUGAAGUGGAGAGCCAAACAAAGGACUAAAAGAAAUGGAAAUUUACAACCAAUUGUGUGGAGAAGCCCUUUAGAAGAUGAAGAUUCAGUAGAGCUGCCUUUAUUUGACUUCCAUAGCAUAUUAGUUGCAACCAACAACUUUGACAUAAAUAACAAACUCGGGCAAGGAGGCUAUGGUCCAGUUUAUAAGGGAACACUACAAGAUGGGAAGGAUGUGGCGAUUAAAAGACUUUCUAGUAGCUCUAGUCAAGGCAUAGAAGAGUUCAAGAAUGAAAUGAAGUUGAUCUCCAAACUCCAACACAGAAAUCUUGUCAGACUCUUAGGUUGCUGCGUUGAAAGACAAGAGAAGAUAUUAAUUUACGAGUACAUGCCCAACAAAAGCUUGGACAUCUAUCUAUUUGAUCUAGAAAGAAAGAUAGAACUUGAUUGGACUAAACGCUUCAACAUUAUAAUUGGAGUUGCUCGAGGACUGCUUUAUCUUCAUCGCGAUUCUUGUUUAAGGGUUAUACACAGAGAUUUAAAGGUCAGCAAUAUUCUUUUGGAUGAGAAGAUGAAUCCAAAAAUAUCAGAUUUUGGAUUGGCAAGAAUUUUUGAAGGCACACAAGAUCUAGGAAGCACUCAUAGAGUUAUAGGAACAAUGUAAGGAAUCCAUCUUACCAAACACUUGAAAGUGCUUGUACUUUCAAGGUAGCUAGUAACGUCAUCCAGAAAACAUAAAGUACAGUUACUAAAUACUUUGAUUCUCUUAUCAAAUACAGAGGUUACAUGGCUCCAGAAUAUCUACUUGGCGGCAUAUUUUCAGAAAAAUCUGAUAUCUUUAGCUUUGGAGUCUUGAUUUUGGAAAUUGUUAGUGGUAGGAAAGUUAACAGCAUCCAGCACGAUGAACAACAAAUGAGUCUUAUAGCUUAUGUAAGUAAGCACAUAUGGUCAUUUUGUCCCUUUCAAAUAAUUGGAAUUUCAUUGAAAAAAAAAAAUGCAAAUUGUUGCAGGCAUGGCAUUUGUGGUCCGAAGGCAAAGGUAUACAAAUGAUUGAUGAAGUAUUGGUGGACUCAUUUUCCUCAUCAGAAGUAAGCAGAUGUGUAAAUAUUGGACUUCUCUGUGUACAAGAUCAGGCUGCUAAUAGGCCAACCAUGGCAGCCAUAGUUUCUAUGCUAAGCGGUGAAAAAACAAAGCUUCCUGAACCAAAACAGCCUACAGUUACGUUUACAAACGUCUCCAGCAGCAAUUCUCAAUCACAAAGCAUUUCUACAUGGUCUGUAAAUAAUGUCACUGAAUCAACCAUUGAACCCCGUUAGAAUCCAACUUAUAGCAGAAACAAUUGUAUAAUCUGUUGCUUAUCCUUGUGGUAGACACGAUAAUCUUUUGCUUAUCUUUGUUUUAGACUUUAGUCAUGCCAAGUUUUAGAUCAUUGAGUGUGUAAGUGGAUGAGAAAUGCAUAAUAAAUGAUUUUGAAAAGUAAGAGAUAUGUAACCUCAUUCAGUCAUUCUCAAUUGAAUUUGUGCCAUUGGGUAGGUGACAUGGCUAAGAAAAU
rnacentral:misc_RNA from 1 species